rnacentral:rRNA from 1 species
GAUGAACGCUGGCGGCGUGCCUAAUACAUGCAAGUCGAGCGAACAGACGAGGUACUUGCUCCUCUGACGUUAGCGGCGGACGGGUGAGUAACACGUGGAGAACCUACCUAUAAGACUGGGAUAACUUCGGGAAACGGGAGCUAAUACCGGAUAAAAAAUUUAACCGCAAGGUUCAAUAUUGAAAGAUGGUUUUGCUUCAACUAAUAGUGGUACCGCGCUGCAUUAGCUAGUUGGUGAGGUAAAGGCUUACCAAGGCGACGAUUCGUAGCCGACCUGAGAGGGUGAUCGGCCACACUGGAACUGAGACACGGUCCAGACUCCUACGGGAGGCAGCAGUAGGGAAUCUUCCGCAAUGGGCGAAAGCCUGACGGAGCAACGCCGCGUGAGUGAUGAAGGUCUUCGGAUCGUAAAACUCUGUUAGUAGGGAAGAACAAAUGUGUAAGUAACUAUGCACGUCUUGACGGUAACUAAUCAGAAAGCCACGGCUAACUACGUG